rnacentral:rRNA from 1 species
AAUCAACGCUGGCGGCGUGCCUCAGACAUGCAAGUCGAACGCGAAAGUUCCCUUCGGGGAGCGAGUAGAGUGGCGCACGGGUGAGUAACACGUAGGUAAUUUACCUUCGGGUGGGGAAUAACAGCCGGAAACGGCUGCUAAUACCGCAUAAUGCAGCGGCUCGACAUCGAGACAGUUGUUAAAGCGGGGGAUCGCAAGACCUCGCGCCUGAAGAGAAGCCUGCGGCAGAUUAGCUAGUUGGUGGGGUAAUGGCUCACCAAGGCGACGAUCUGUAGCCGGCCUGAGAGGGCGGUCGGCCACACUGACACUGACAUACGGGUCAGACUCCUACGGGAGGCAGCAGUCGGGAAUUUUGGGCAAUGGGCGAAAGCCUGACCCAGCAACGCCGCGUGAAGGAUGAAAUCCCUCGGGAUGUAAACUUCGCAAGAAGUGGGAAGAAUAAGGUGGGGGUGAAUAUCCCCAUGAUGACGGUACCAUUUGUAAGCUCCGGCUAACUCCGUGCC